ensembl:lncRNA
UUCUUUCUUGCAUUUUAUAAACAGUUAACAAUUUGCAUACAUCCAGCAGUGAUAAUAUGCCUUUGCAUUUAAAUUUUAAUUAUUCUGCAAGUCUACCAGGAUGUCACUUGUUUAAUGGCUCACUGAGCUUAGAGGUCACCCAGUCCAAGUCUCCUCUACGGGUGUUUUUAUCCAAGUUAAAAGCUUCUACUAACAAGAGCACAGCAAACAUACCGAUGUGAGACCUAUGCAGUAAUACAUAUGAAUUAGAAUUUAGAGAAACUUGGAGAACAGGGGAUUACGUUUUCAGAGUGUUUCUUUUUUAAUGGUUAUUUGACUGACUGGGAUCAUAAAUUUUUAUUCUCUGCUGCUCAGAACACAGGCUGCCAUUUACACGUGCAGUGAGUAUAAGGCACUACUGAACUAAAAAAGGAAGCAUUUUACUCCUUGAUUAUAAAGCGGCAAGUGGCUUCAGCUUGAAGCUGGAUGAUGAUGGAUCAUACUACUUCCAUUCAGAAUUGGAAAAGACAAAUCAAGCUUCCUGAAAGUGUAGAUGAUAGUAUAGCAAUCUAACUCAAGACCCGACCUUCAGCUAACUGCAUGGGAAUCUCUGUUGUAUUAAUUUACAUAUCAUUGUAAAUUCUAACUGGAGUCACAGAAUCACAGACUGGUUUGGGUUGUAAGGGACCUUAAAGAUCAUCUAGUUCCAAGCCCCUGCCACGGGCAGGGACACCUUCCACUAGACCAGGUUGCUCCAAGCCCCGUCCAACCUGGCCUUGAACACUGUCAGGGAUGGGGCAGCCACAGCUUCUCUGGGCAAUCUGUGCCAGCGCCUCACCACCCUCACAGUAAAGAAUUUCUUUCUAGUAUCUAAUCUAAAUUUCCCCUCUGCCAGUUUUAAAGCCAUUCCCCUUUGCCCUGUCACUACAUGCCCUGGUAAAUUGUUCAAUGCUCUCAAAAUCUUUGAAAACAGUGGUGGUUACAUACCAGGAUUUCUUUCUAUCUGUCUCCCCAUGCCCAAGAACAGUGACCUUCAGAUUACUUGUAAUGAGAACAGCACGUAGCAUACCAGAUCAGAUUAAUAGUUGUGACAAACUGAAAACUACAGUGAUUUCCACUCAGUUAUAGCAAUGUAAACUUGAGAAUUUGUCCAAUUACUGUUAAACCUUGUCAUAGCAGUAUUUAAAACAAAUGUAAAACCUCAUAAAGAGCAAUGCAGAAGUAACCACUUUUAUUUCACUGUAUUUUAAUACUCACUGAAGAUAUGUAAACAGUGUUUAAACCCAGCUGAAGUAGGUGCUCCAGAAUUUACAUUUUUGAGUUCAGUAGUGGUACCUUAGGACAAGCCUACCCAAGUUCUGCACAAGUUUAAUUCAGAUCUAGCUGUGGAAUUAGAAGCCAAGCCAGUAACAGGAAUACCAACUGGUUUGACUUUUUCCAGUUGAUUGGUACAUAACUAGCUGUUGCUUCAGUGUAAAAGCAUGACCCGUAAACCAUAUAUAUCCUGUGAAAAUGGGACAAACUCUGUGUGUGUAUAAGCUGUAGGUUUAUGUCUUUCGAGGUGACUGGUGGUUUUUAGGCAUCCUAAUUUUUUUGCAUGUCCAGCUUGCACUAGUUUUCAAAGGACCUGGUUUUU